CCUACGGGAGGCAGCAGUAGGGAAUAUUGCUCAAUGGGGGAAACCCUGAAGCAGCAACGCCGCGUGGAGGAUGACGGUUUUCGGAUUGUAAACCUCUUUUGUUAGAGAAGAUAAUGACGGUAUCUAACGAAUAAGCACCGGCUAACUCCGUGCCAGCAGCCGCGGUAAUACGGAGGGUGCCAGCGUUACGCGGAAUCACUGGGCGUAAAGAGCGCGUAGGCGGGAUAGCAAGUCAGAUGUGAAAUCCUAGGGCUUAACCAUAGAACUGCAUUUGAGACUGUUAUUCUAGAGUAUAGGAGAGGUAGGUGGAAUUCUUGGUGUAGGGGUGAAAUGCGUAGAGAUCAAGAGGAAUACUCAUUGCGAAGGCGACCUGCUAGAACAUAACUGACGCUGAUGCGCGAAAGCGUGGGGAGCAAACAGGAUUAGAUACCCGAGUAGUC
rnacentral:rRNA from 1 species